UUAAGAUAUUAAGGGCGCACGGUGGAUGCCUUGGCACUAGAAGCCGAUGAAGGACGUUACUAACGACGAUAUGCUUUGGGGAGCUGUAAGUAAGCUUUGAUCCAGAGAUUUCCGAAUGGGGAAACCCAGCAUGAGUUAUGUCAUGUUAUCGAUAUGUGAAUACAUAGCAUAUCAGAAGGCACACCCGGAGAACUGAAACAUCUUAGUACCCGGAGGAAGAGAAAGAAAAUUCGAUUCCCUUAGUAGCGGCGAGCGAAACGGGAAGAGCCCAAACCAACAAGCUUGCUUGUUGGGGUUGUAGGACACUCUAUACGGAGUUACAAAGGACGACAUUAGACGAAUCAUCUGGAAAGAUGAAUCAAAGAAGGUAAUAAUCCUGUAGUCGAAAAUGUUGUCUCUCUUGAGUGGAUCCUGAGUACGACGGAGCACGUGAAAUUCCGUCGGAAUCUGGGAGGACCAUCUCCUAAGGCUAAAUACUCUCUAGUGACCGAUAGUGAACCAGUACCGUGAGGGAAAGGUGAAAAGCACCCCGGAAGGGGAGUGAAAUAGAACCUGAAACCGUGUGCUUACAAGUAGUCAGAGCCCGUUAAUGGGUGAUGGCGUGCCUUUUGUAGAAUGAACCGGCGAGUUACGAUUUGAUGCAAGGUUAAGCAGUAAAUGUGGAGCCGUAGCGAAAGCGAGUCUGAAUAGGGCGUUUAGUAUUUGGUCGUAGACCCGAAACCAGGUGAUCUACCCUUGGUCAGGUUGAAGUUCAGGUAACACUGAAUGGAGGACCGAACCGACUUACGUUGAAAAGUGAGCGGAUGAACUGAGGGUAGCGGAGAAAUUCCAAUCGAACCUGGAGAUAGCUGGUUCUCUCCGAAAUAGCUUUAGGGCUAGCCUCAAGUGAUGAUUAUUGGAGGUAGAGCACUGUUUGGACGAGGGGCCCCUCUCGGGUUACCGAAUUCAGACAAACUCCGAAUGCCAAUUAAUUUAACUUGGGAGUCAGAACAUGGGUGAUAAGGUCCGUGUUCGAAAGGGAAACAGCCCAGACCACCAGCUAAGGUCCCAAAAUAUAUGUUAAGUGGAAAAGGAUGUGGCGUUGCCCAGACAACUAGGAUGUUGGCUUAGAAGCAGCCAUCAUUUAAAGAGUGCGUAAUAGCUCACUAGUCGAGUGACACUGCGCCGAAAAUGUACCGGGGCUAAACAUAUUACCGAAGCUGUGGAUUGUCCUUUGGACAAUGGUAGGAGAGCGUUCUAAGGGCGUUGAAGCAUGAUCGUAAGGACAUGUGGAGCGCUUAGAAGUGAGAAUGCCGGUGUGAGUAGCGAAAGACGGGUGAGAAUCCCGUCCACCGAUUGACUAAGGUUUCCAGAGGAAGGCUCGUCCGCUCUGGGUUAGUCGGGUCCUAAGCUGAGGCCGACAGGCGUAGGCGAUGGAUAACAGGUUGAUAUUCCUGUACCACCUAUAAUCGUUUUAAUCGAUGGGGGGACGCAGUAGGAUAGGCGAAGCGUGCGAUUGGAUUGCACGUCUAAGCAGUAAGGCUGAGUAUUAGGCAAAUCCGGUACUCGUUAAGGCUGAGCUGUGAUGGGGAGAAGACAUUGUGUCUUCGAGUCGUUGAUUUCACACUGCCGAGAAAAGCCUCUAGAUAGAAAAUAGGUGCCCGUACCGCAAACCGACACAGGUAGUCAAGAUGAGAAUUCUAAGGUGAGCGAGCGAACUCUCGUUAAGGAACUCGGCAAAAUGACCCCGUAACUUCGGGAGAAGGGGUGCUCUUUAGGGUUAACGCCCAGAAGAGCCGCAGUGAAUAGGCCCAAGCGACUGUUUAUCAAAAACACAGGUCUCUGCUAAACCGUAAGGUGAUGUAUAGGGGCUGACGCCUGCCCGGUGCUGGAAGGUUAAGAGGAGUGGUUAGCUUCUGCGAAGCUACGAAUCGAAGCCCCAGUAAACGGCGGCCGUAACUAUAACGGUCCUAAGGUAGCGAAAUUCCUUGUCGGGUAAGUUCCGACCCGCACGAAAGGCGUAACGAUUUGGGCACUGUCUCAACGAGAGACUCGGUGAAAUCAUAGUACCUGUGAAGAUGCAGGUUACCCGCGACAGGACGGAAAGACCCCGUGGAGCUUUACUGUAGCCUGAUAUUGAAAUUCGGCACAGCUUGUACAGGAUAGGUAGGAGCCUUUGAAACGUGAGCGCUAGCUUACGUGGAGGCGCUGGUGGGAUACUACCCUAGCUGUGUUGGCUUUCUAACCCGCACCACUUAUCGUGGUGGGAGACAGUGUCAGGCGGGCAGUUUGACUGGGGCGGUCGCCUCCUAAAAGGUAACGGAGGCGCUCAAAGGUUCCCUCAGAAUGGUUGGAAAUCAUUCAUAGAGUGUAAAGGCAUAAGGGAGCUUGACUGCGAGACCUACAAGUCGAGCAGGGUCGAAAGACGGACUUAGUGAUCCGGUGGUUCCGCAUGGAAGGGCCAUCGCUCAACGGAUAAAAGCUACCCCGGGGAUAACAGGCUUAUCUCCCCCAAGAGUUCACAUCGACGGGGAGGUUUGGCACCUCGAUGUCGGCUCAUCGCAUCCUGGGGCUGUAGUCGGUCCCAAGGGUUGGGCUGUUCGCCCAUUAAAGCGGUACGCGAGCUGGGUUCAGAACGUCGUGAGACAGUUCGGUCCCUAUCCGUCGUGGGCGUAGGAAAUUUGAGAGGAGCUGUCCUUAGUACGAGAGGACCGGGAUGGACAUACCUCUGGUGUACCAGUUGUCGUGCCAACGGCAUAGCUGGGUAGCUAUGUGUGGACGGGAUAAGUGCUGAAAGCAUCUAAGCAUGAAGCCCCCCUCAAGAUGAGAUUUCCCAACUUCGGUUAUAAGAUCCCUCAAAGAUGAUGAGGUUAAUAGGUUCGAGGUGGAAGCAUGGUGACAUGUGGAGCUGACGAAUACUAAUCGAUCGAAGACUUAAUCAA
rnacentral:rRNA from 1 species